UUGGAGCUGGAAGGUGAAAGAGGGCGGAACCAGCCUCAAACCCGGGAGAUGGACCCGGCAAAGGUCAAAGUCAGUGGGAUAAGAGUGUUCCCGACUUCGCUGAGCCCAGGGUUUGCAGCUGGGAGAAGGUGGCCAGCCCCAAAGGCGAGGCCCCGCGGGGGCGCAACUGAAGCCAGGUCCCCAGGUCGUGCCCGUUUGCACCCUCCUUCCUCGCAGCAGGGGAGUCUCUGCUCGCCGCGGCCUCGCCCCUCCCGAACCUGGGGCGUCCAGGUCGGGCGCCCGCGACCCUUACCCAGCCAGAAGUGCAGGCGGUAGGUGAAGCCGCGGCACGCCUUGCUCGUGUGCAGCACCAGUUUUUGUGUCUCCAGCACAGGCGAAGCACUGUAAAAUAUAGAUGGAAGUUUACUAUGUAUUUUGCAAUCAUUUAAUUGAAGCUGAAAUGGCAAAGGAGUUCACUGUUAUUUCAAAAGCAAAUCGCUCACCAUGUAAAGAACAAUGAAGGGCAGGUGUGUCCGGCUCCUAUUACAGAUGAGGAAACUGAGGCUUUGGAACUUGUCAGAGGUCAUUCGGCUGGUUUCUCCAGAAGCAGACACAAGGAUUCCAGGGAAACCAGAGGUGAUCCCCAAAACGGAGAGCUUCACAGAUAAGAAAAAGCUAAAGGAGUUCAUCACCACCAAACCAGC